UGAAAUUUUUACAGUGUGUUGUACUACUUUUGGGACAAAUUAUAUCAAAAUUAUAGAAAACUUCAUCGGCUCUAACUCAAAAUAUGGACAAUUUUAUGUUUAGGGCGUCUUAAAAUCUUUUGAAAGCUUCCGAAGUGCUAAUUUUCAACCUUUUUCAGCUGGACCAAAUCACUACUUUCCUUUAAAAUUCUGAACCCAAAUUUUUUUACAGUGUAAUUUUCAUCCCCCC
rnacentral:lncRNA from 1 species